UUAAUCGACUGAUAGAUUCUAUGUGCGCCAACCGCAUAGACUGCGGGCGAGAGAGAGAAUCACUAGUCUAAGUGCAAGUAAUAAAAGCUAUUAGUAAGACAUAUGAACAACAUUAUUACCUAAAUAGAUUCCAAGUGUUGUAGCAUAAUACUUAAACUUGUGCUCAUUAAAUUUAAAAGUAAGCAUAAACGGAUGAAAACAUAAUGGAGCGCAAGGAGACGGAUAUUUUGCACUAAAAUGUGCUGUCGGAAAUUGCAUUUAUCGGUCGAUAUAUUGGAAGGUUGCAAAGGUGAUCGAUUCCAAAUCACUUCAACAUCGUCGCCGAGAUCGUGAACCGAGAAGUAUCGAGCAUCCGGAAGAAAAUACCAACGGGACGGAUUGUGUGACCGAAUUCGUGCCUAUCAGCUCUUUCCAGAUGGGCAUCAAUACAAGCUAGCGGUGGAGAUGGACGAGCUUUUGGCAGCGCAGCGGACACAUGCUAGCUCAAAUGUACGGCCAAUGAGACGUUCCCCCAAGUGCUGAAGGAACUCAAAGACGGCGACGGGAUCACUCCAUCCUCUUCCUUUACAAUUGUUUUAGUACCUAAUAUUGUACCUAGUGCUGUAUUCAACAAAUAAAAGCAGCUUAGACGUAGA